UUAUUAAAAGAUUCUCCCGUGCCAAGUCCAAGCCUAAAAUGAGUAAGACAGCUGCAUACCCUCCGGUGGCUGGGGAUGGCCCACAAAGUGUGGUGGAUACAAAUAGACUUUCAUAUCAUUCUUUCAUGUAUUUAUACAACAAAUAUCUAUUUUGAACCUACUAUGUGCAGAGUACUGGGAUAGGUCUUGGAGACAUAGAAUAAUAAAGCAAAGACCCCACCCCAAGAACCCCCUUCCAUUGUCUCCAAUACAAUUGUGAGUGGUCUAAAGAGGUGUUCCAGAAGCGUGAGGGGGGGUGGACGGAAGGGACAACUGUUUUGAUCAGUUACAUACUAUUAAUAAUUAUAACCACCAAAUCCAAGAAAACAGUAACACUUAGAGCCUAUAGGGAAUAAGAAAAAUAUUAAGUAUAAAUUUACAAAGAUACCCACCAGAAAGGCUAAAAUGAAAGUGUCUGACAAGAUCAAGUGUUGACGAAAAUAUAAAGCAACUGAAACUCUCAAACUCUGGGGGAAAUGUAAGUUGGUAAAACCCUGUUGUAAAAUUGGCGGUAUCUACUAAAGCUGAGCGCAUGCCAACCUAAGACCCAGCAGUUCCACCCCUGGAUACAUACACAACAGAAACAAGAGCUUAUGUCUACCAAGACAUGUGCAAGAAUGUUCCUCACUGCGCUCUUCAUACUUGCCCCAAACUGGAAUCCACCUAAAUGUCUCUCCACGGUAGAAUGGAUAUAUAAGUUGUGGUGUAGUCACACAGUAGAAUACUAGUAUACAGCAAUGAGUAUGAAUGAAAAUAUUGCUACACGUAACAAUGGAUAAAUCUCACAGGCACGAUGUUGAGCAAAAGAAGACAGUACACACAAAAGUGCUCGCUGGAUGGUUCUACUUGUAGAAAAAUAGAGAAAUAAGCAAAAUUGAUCUAUGGUGUUGGGAGUCAGCAUGGUUACUUUGGGAGGGAUAGAGCCAGGAAUGGGUGUUCUGGGGCGUGGCUCUACCUCCUGGUUUGGGUGUUGGUUUCAUGAGUAUUUCAGUUUGUAUUCAGACUUCCUGCUGGAGAUGUGGAAAUAAACCAAGAUCAUCCAAAUGAGAACAAGCAGAGGCUGUUCAUUCAGAGCUUGCAAGGGAGUCAGCCACCAUCACUUGCGUUUGGCAGGGAGGGACUCAAAGCAGGCAGGGAGUGGGAAAACUUUACGGUGAAAAAAGGAAGGGAGGCUCCAGGUGUGCUGUGAUUGGAGGUUCUUUGCCUGGGAUGCCGGAGGGGGCCUGACCAGAAGGGGGGCAUCUUCCGUGAUUGGUUGGAAGCAUAUUUGGCUUUCUCUGGUUGAUCCUGAGUUGGAGAGAGGGCAGAGUGGUUGGGGAUUGGGAAGAAGCUGGCACACCAAGUCCUGAUCAUGCUGGGCCCAUUGCUGCAGAGGUGGUGGUUUGGCUUUCCAGGCUGGUUACUGCAGAGAGUUCUAUUGUCAUAUAUGGUCUGGCCACUGUCAUUCGUAUAUUCAGUCUCUAGGAGGGAAGCGUAUGGGCCUCCACUGCUGGAAUGGGUGCCAUUGCCAUACUAUCUGAAUCACUGAUUUCCUAGCAAUCAGAUGCUGUCUUCUAUUUAAUCAAUUCGCUUGUAUUUAACAUAAGAAGAAAGAAAAAAUCUUUUCAUCAUCACAUGCAGCUGGAAAUCGGCUUCUUGCACGAGGCCUAUCCAAAGGAAUUGGGAAAGAGAGAAGCUGGUAAUCGUUGAAAGAAUUGCUCUUUUUCCUACUUGCUGUCACGAUGUCCUUAGAAUUAUGAGUCCAAGGACACUUGUUUGCAGUCAUUCUGCUAUUAUUACUUCUAGAACUUAAAAUCCUUUACCAUUUCCUUCGUUCAGCCCAUAAUCAUGAAGGUCCGAGCCUAGUGAGGCUACUGCAGUGAUGUAAACGGAGCUUUCAAUCUGGGGGCUUGUUCGGACCUCUCCCCUUUUCCCUCCUGCUUCACUCUCAGGGCGGGUGGGGGAGAGGGGUAGGGGGUUCUACUCAGAGACAAGCUACGCAGCACUCAGAGCCUGGAGGAGGCUGUCACUUUCUGGGCUGGCUCUGUGGACUCCUUCCUUCCCACCCAAUCCAGGGGUGUCAAUCUCCCCUCUGAAUUUUCAACUUCCUUAUAGUCUCGUCUCUUUAAAACAUCUUUUAGGGGCCAGCCCAGGGGCUGAGUGCUUAAGUUCACAUACUCCGCUUCGCUGGCCCAGGGUUUUGGCUGGUUCAGAUCCUGGGCGUGGACAUAUCACCGCUCAUCAGGCCGUGCUGAGGCGGCGUCCCACAUAGCAGAGCCAGAAGGACCAACAACUAGAAUAUACAACUAUGUCCUGGGCGGCUUUGGGGAGAAGAAAAAAAAAGAUUGGCAACAGAUGUUAGCUCAGGUGCCAAUCUUUAAAAAAAAAUCUUUUAAUUAUACAAGUAAUACGUGAAUAUGUGCUUGCUGUAAGACGUUAAAAUACCAAACUAUACAGUUAUAUAGGCCAGAGUUUCUCAAACUUCGGGAUAG
ensembl:lncRNA